AUGCUAUUUUAUCAGACGACGCACUUGUUCACCUUGAUGAGAAGCCACUGUUUUCACAACUAUGCAAACCCUCCCGCCUUCGCCUCCGCGCUCCAUCUCCCGCACAGAUUUUUCUUUGUACCAGAACCACAAUAUCCAACCUCUGGUUCAAGAUCUGGACAACUCACCUCUCUCUGCGCCAACUCUUGUUCCAGAGACCCUCCAGCCCCCCUCAUUCUCAGAGCCGUUCCUGAAGACUGUCUAGACUCUCCGUUCUCCUGCACACCUUCCCCGCCUUCAGCAGCAGCACAUUCCUUCAGCCCCUCCACCGAGCUCUUUAAAACGAAAGGCAGUUGCUGUCUUCCCGUGGACAAUACUGAAUGUAUCUUCUGUAAGUGCAGACCAUGUAGAGAAGUGGCUGGGUUCAUCAAAAAAAAAAAAAAAAAAAAAAGGGUUUUUGUAAAGCCUGUUUAUUUUUUUAAGUCGGUUUUGAGCAUUUCUAUUUUAUCACCCUUCACAUGGUCUUGGGGAACCCAAAUUGUAUCAAAGUCUCAUGCCAAAACAAGCCAAAAGUUGUUUUCUUUACCUUUUUCCUCCAUGCACCAUGAUUUAAAUGAUUGUUUCAGUGUCAUUUUAAAUGUUUUCUUGUGACAUGUACUGACGAUAAAAAUCAUCUUGACAAAAAAAAAAAAAGAUUUAUACAUGAAUCAGAAAGUAUUUAUUUCAAUUUUGUACCUUUCCAUUUUAAUACAUUAUAAUGUAUUGACUCAACUGAGAUAAUAUAAACAGUUCAUUUUAAUAACAUGUGUGUACGUGUGCCUUUUCCUUUGUUUACGGUGGGGGAGGGACAGAGGAGCACGGAGUGGAAAAUCCUGGGUGCUUAUUAGCAGCCCUGUCAGCCUCAGUGGCCUCUGACUGGACCAAAGGCUUCUCAGCAGCAGCUGGUGACCCCCGCCCCCAGAAGAGGAAGAGAGGUGACAGGGGAAUUAAGGAGGUAAGUGGGUGGGCCCUCUGGGCAUCACUGCCUCCUAACACCACCACCC
rnacentral:lncRNA from 1 species